rnacentral:rRNA from 1 species
UACGUAGGCAGCAAGCGUUGUUCGGAGUUACUGGGCGUAAAGGGUGUGUAGGCGGUUCUCUAAGUCUGGUGUGAAAUCUCCCGGCUCAACUGGGAGGGUGCGCCGAAAACUGGAGGGCUAGAGUGCGGGAUGGGAGAGUGGAAUUCCUGGUGUAGCGGUGAAAUGCGUAGAUAUCAGGAGGAACACCUGUGGUGUAGACGGCUCUCUGGACCGCAACUGACGCUGAGACACGAAAGCGUGGGUAGCAAACAGG